rnacentral:ncRNA from 1 species
CCUUUGGAGUGUUAUAUCAAAUGUGAGUAGAAUACAAUGUAUUUGAAAACAGACACGUUGAAAAAGGAA